rnacentral:rRNA from 1 species
ACUCCUACGGGAGGCAGCAGUGGGGAAUCUUGCGCAAUGGGCGGAAGCCUGACGCAGCAACGCCGCGUGAGGGAUGACGGCCUUCGGGUUGUAAACCUCUUUCGCGAUCGACGAAGGUCAUGCUUUUGGCAUGGCUGACGGUAGGUCGAGAAGAAGCACCGGCCAACUACGUGCCAGCAGCCGCGGUAAUACGUAGGGUGCGAGCGUUGUCCGGAAUUAUUGGGCGUAAAGAGCUCGUAGGCGGUGUGUCGCGUCGGCCGUGAAAACCUGGGGCUUAACUCUGGGCGUGCGGUCGAUACGGGCAUCACUAGAGUUCGGCAGGGGAGACUGGAAUUCCUGGUGUAGCGGUGAAAUGCGCAGAUAUCAGGAGGAACACCGGUGGCGAAGGCGGGUCUCUGGGCCGAUACUGACGCUGAGGAGCGAAAGCAUGGGUAGCGAACAGGAUUAGAUACCCUGGUAGGCGUAGU